UACGUAGGGUGCAGGCGUUAAUCGGAAUUACUGGGCGUAAAGCGUGCGCAGGCGGUUUCUUAAGUCAGAUGUGAAAGCCCCGGGCUUAACCUGGGAACUGCGUUUGAAACUGGGAGACUUGAGUGUGGCAGAGGGGGGUGGAAUUCCACGUGUAGCAGUGAAAUGCGUAGAGAUCUGGAGGAACACCGAUGGCGAAGGCAGCCCCCUGGGCUAACACUGACGCUCAUGCGCGAAAGCGUGGGGAGCAAACAGG
rnacentral:rRNA from 1 species